AUUGAACGCUGGCGGAAUGCUUUACACAUGCAAGUCGAACGGCAGCACGGGUGCUUGCACCUGGUGGCGAGUGGCGAACGGGUGAGUAAUACAUCGGAACGUACCCAGUCGUGGGGGAUAACGUAGCGAAAGUUACGCUAAUACCGCAUACGUCCUGAGGGAGAAAGCGGGGGACCGUAAGGCCUCGCGCGAUUGGAGCGGCCGAUGGCGGAUUAGCUAGUUGGUGGGGUAAAGGCCUACCAAGGCGACGAUCCGUAGCGGGUCUGAGAGGACGGCCCGGCACACGGGAGCUGAGACGCGGGCCAGACUCCUACGGGAGUCAGCGGUGGGGAAUUUUAGACGAUGGGCGAAAGCCUGAUCCGGCUAUUCCGCGUGAGUGAAGAAGGGCUUCGGGUUGUAAAGCUCUUUCGGCAGGGAAGAAACGGCUUGGGAUAAUACCCCGGGCAAAUGACGGUACCUGAAGAAGAAGCACCGGCUAACUACGUGCCAGCCGCCGCCGUAA
rnacentral:rRNA from 1 species